UGGGUGUACAAAAUAUAAGACCUCAAGGAGGCUUACCUAAUGAUACAGAGGCAAAUCCAAAGUAGGUAAAUGCAGUUACAACAAGGAGUAGGUUGCAGUUAAAGGAGAUGACAACUUAGCAGGUUAGCCCCACAGUCAUUGAUGAUAAUUCUAAAGACAAAGAGGAAAAAACUUAAGGAAAAAGCUGUAAGUGAUGAAAGUCAUGUGGAAAAGAAUAAUCCACCUCUACCAUUCCC
rnacentral:lncRNA from 1 species